rnacentral:antisense_RNA from 1 species
GCUGUAGUCAUUCUGUGAGGGGAACUCCAGGAGACUGGAUCCAACUUGCAAUCAGCUAUAGUGAAGUUAUGAUAUGAGAAGCACUGACUUGGCACAAGACUUGGGAAAGGCAAUGAGGCAGCAGGCAAGCUUUAAGGGGUGACACUUACCUUGAGGGAGCAAGGACAAGUUGUGACCUUCCCAGUCCUCUCUCCAUUUGCAAAUCAGCAAGCUUCUGUCAGCAAGGAGGGGUGGACAAAGAAACUGUUUGGGUUCAGCUUGAUUUGUUUUUUGAGACAGGUGUGGCAAGGGGCUGCCAUCAAAAAUUCCAGUUGCCCAUGAUGUCACAGGCUGAGGCCCACACUCCAGAGACACUGUGGACUGACUGGCACCUAUGAGCUGACCUAAUAACAGUCGCACCAUUACAGCUCCAAUUCUACAGAACAAUACAUACCCAGUUCUUA